CCAAUAGCGUAUAUUAAAGUUGUUGCAGUUAAAAAGCUCGUAGUUGAAUUUCGGGGUUAGUAGGUUGGUCGUGCCUAUGGUAUGCACUGGCUUUACUGAUUCCUCCUUCUUGAAGAACUGUAAUGUCAUUAACUUGGUGUUGCAGGGAAACAGGACUGUUACUUUGAAAAAAUUAGAGUGUUUAAAGCAGGCUAACGCUUGAAUACAUUAGCAUGGAAUAAUGAAAUAGGACGUUCGAUCCUAUUUUGUUGGUUUCUAGGAUUGACGUAAUGAUUAAUAGGGAUAGUUGGGGGCAUUAGUAUUCAAUUGUCAGAGGUGAAAUUCUUGGAUUUAUUGAAGACUAACUACUGCGAAAGCAUUUGCCAAGGAUGUUUUCAUUAAUCAAGAACGAAAGUUAGGGGAUCGAAGACGAUCAGAUACCGUCGUAGUCUUAACCAUAAACUAUGCCGACUAGGGAUCGGAUGAUGUUAAUUUUUUAAUGACUCAUUCGGCGCCUUACG
rnacentral:rRNA from 1 species